AAAUGAGAAGAGGACAUGAGUGUGAAAGUACCAGAGGUGAGAGAGAGAUGUGUAUGUGUGUAGAUGUAUGUCUAAGAGCAUGUUUUGGUGUGUGUCUGAGUAGGAUUUGCAUGAGAGAUAACUGAGCUGAGCCAAACAGGAUAAAAGGGAUAUACAGUAUGUGUCUGGAAGAGAGAGACAAAACUGAAAUGAAAGAGUGAAACUGAAGCCGAAAAUAUGAGUAUACAGUAUAUAUAAUAAUAGAAGAAGAAGAGGUAAAGAGAGAGAGAGACGUAAUUGGUAGAUACAGUUCAGAAAGUGUACUUCAUGGUUAUCCUGUAGGCAAAAACAUCCAAUCAAGCUCAUAGACGAGGAGACAGCAUCUGCUUACAUCUCUCGCCACGCUGAUGGUAAUGGAGAACAAUUAUAAUUAACCUGAAAUAACUUGAGUAAGAGAUUUCCAACAAGUUCAAGACAAGGCGGUGACAUUUCAUAUGGCAGUCCUCUUGACAUGUUGUUCCGCAUGUCUAAUGGGAUCGAGAGUGUGUGAGAAACACAAAACGGAGAGAAAUUAUGCAUACAUUUGGCCAUCGGAGAGCUGCUUGUCUCCAGUGUUUUUGACAGAAGUUUGAACAUGACAAGAAACAAGACUUUUUUUUUUUUUUUUUCACCUUUUGGUCGGCGGAUCCCCAAGAGACUGAAAAGAGCGAGAGAUGAGAAGAUGAAGGUUACAAGGGGAGAGAGACUCCGAGUUUUUGGCGCACAAACACAGCAGCGGUUCCAGUUGUACAACUUUUGGCACAGCGCUGCUCCUCAGUCUCUCCGUCUUUCACCGUUUUCUCAGGCUCUGACGUCUUCUGGCACGAAAACAUGGCAACAAACCUCCCAAUCGGAGGUGUUAUUAAAAAAAAAAUUGCACAUUGAUUAUCCGCCAGUUCCUCAAAUCGUCAUCUGAUGGGAAAGUUUGCAGUCUGAGGAGCGUAUUGUGCUGCAUAGAAAUGAUCGUUUUGAAUAUCUCAUUACUUUGAAUAAAAGAAUUGAAUAUAAUCACCAAUUUCUGCAGGCACUUCUUGAUUUGUCUGGCAAGGUUUAAAUAUUAUGAUAAAUUAGGAGGAAGUACCUUGUGAAUGUAGAGUUUUAUUUGACUAAAAGAAGCCUAUAUUCACCUUUUUCUGACAUUUUAUUCAAUUAAAUUUCAAGAUAUCAAGCAAAUCAACUUUCUCUCCCUUGUUUUUCCUUCAAAUUCUUUCCCUUUCUCUUCUGUCUUCCCCACUUUCCUCCCUCUUCUUCUCAUUUUCUCUCCCCUCUUUUCCAUUCUCAUCAAACCUAUUAUAAUAAAGUAACUGCAGAUAUAUUAGACCAAAUCGUUAUGAAUCAUUUUUAUGCCUCUCUGCAAUGAAUAUGGCCAGACUAAAUCAAAUUAACCUUUUUCAGGCCAGAUGCUCCGGAUAGCUAAGGAAGAUUCAUAUCUCUCUUGCACUCGCUCUCAGUUUCACAGUGAUGCAGGAUCGUAUGUUUUCCAUCUCUCUUAUUGCUGCUUUACCUGAAACAAUCCUCCUCCAGCUCUCCGUUUUUAUAUUUUUAGGCAUAUUUAUGUACUAAUGUGACCAGGAGGCAACCUACAGCUCCUGCUGUUUAUCAGAUGAAUGUUGCUAGAGCUUGUGCUAAAAGAGGACAUAAUAUGCACAAUUCCA